GGUGUUGUGGCUUAGUUGGUUGAUGUGCCUGUCUAGUAAACAGGAGAUCCUGGGUUCAAAUCCCAGCAGUGUGU
rnacentral:tRNA from 1 species